rnacentral:rRNA from 1 species
AUGGUGCUGCAGAAACUCUUAUGCGUCUCAUUUUUCCUGCUGAUAUACACAUCCAAGGCGAUCAACCCGGAAGCAGAAGCCCUUCUCCAAUGGAAAUCCACUUUGAUUGGCAGCACCAAGUCACUAUCCUCAUGGUCGAUUGCCAACUCUACCUGCUCUUGGUUCGGCUCCAUGGUACGCUUCACGCCUUAUACUCUCCAGCGUUCCAGAACCUCACAGUGCUCAGCCUCAACAACAGCAACCUUGUUGGCGUUGUCCCAGCAAACAUCUCCCUGUUUCUCAGCCUCACUGUUCUCGACUUGA